AUGGCUGCUUUGACUCUGGGGAGAUGCGAAACAUCUUCACAAAGCAUCAUUAACCUCCGCGCAAUUGGGUGGCUUUAAGAGCUGCAAGAUAUUAAUUCCAAGCAAGACAUCUAAAUUGUUACUCUGGAAACUUGCUCAUGCCCCCUUCAUGGGUCAGACACUGAAAGGCCACGUUCCAAGUAUCCUUACCAUCUCACCCUCGCCGUCCCUAGAAGCAGGAUUGAAGUCCCGUCUCCACACGGCCACGGCAGGAGGGGCGGCCUGGGCUCAGAUGAGUGGCUCCAGAUUGGACACACACAGAGCUUGCUUUGCCAUGGGUUUAUCUUCUAUUUCAAAAUGAGGAAGACAGGGCACAUCUGACGAUAAGACUCUCGGAUCUCCUGCUGAUGGGUUUUAGUGAUACUUGGAAAGACGCUUACUGCUAUGCUCAAGUCUCCAGGAAAAUGAUUCCCAAUUCUGAGAGGUACAGAUUGCUGAAU
rnacentral:lncRNA from 10 species